GGUGGCGAUCCCGCCCCGCAUUUUGGGCUGGCCUGGCCUGCAGGGCUGCCUGGGCUCGCGCUGGAGUCGCGCCUGACUUUGCACCUCUGUCCGGGCAGGCGAGGGGAGGAGCUCCGUCAUUGCGUCCUGGUUGGUAGCACGGAAGACUUCCAGUACCGCCGGCCAGGAGCGAAGGAGUGCUUGCUUAUUCUGAAGCGCGGGAAUGUGAGAGUUGUGUGCCAAGCGUGCACUGUCUCCAGUAACAGUCACUCCCCUCUCGUCUGUUUACUUGGAUGCCUCCAAGAAAAAGCCUUCUUUGGCAGUGAGGUUUAAACCAAGGUACGCGUGCCAGGUGUUGCGGCUAAGCUAGUGCUUCACAAAUAACCUCCGCGGGGCCUGGGGGCUGCGCAUCCUGCGAGCGGCACCAGCCACACAGCGGGCUUCGGGCUUCGGCGGCCGCGCCACGCCUGUCCUCAGUCGAAACGCGCUUCCUCUUGCUGAGGACUUCUUUCCCUCAGGAGAGAAAGAAGAAAUCCAGGCAGAAGCUGCGAGCUCGGUGUCCGUGAAGGCGAAGGCUUCAGCAGAAUUACCAGCAGGAGAUUAACGAAUAGCAGUCGGGCUAACAGGGUUUUUACCAAGUUAUCUUCCUAGCAUGAGACACACAGACUAAGGCCGAGCUUUAGCGAAGUUGUACAUCAGACUCUCUCUGCCUUCGUUCUGGAAUUUCCUGGUCAAGAUCUGCUGCCCACCCCAGGCUGGGGUCAGUUCAGGCCUCCUGCCUCAGCUUCCUGGGUCACACUGGGAAGUGGCUGUUCCGUUUGGGCAGUGGCGAGCAGCCUCUGGAGCACAGAGCUCCACGAAGGCCACCUCCGGGUUCUGCUUCGGUCGGUGUGACGGGCCUCUGGCCCAACCGGCCUGGUCUGGGGACCCUGCCAUGGGGUGGCCUCACCUGGCACAUGGACCCCUCAUGGCAAGGCCUGUGUUCUGCGGCCUUUUGAGCGCCUCUCCGGAGUGGACACACCUGGCUUCCCCUCCAUGUCAUGGUGGCUGCAGGGAGUGGCAUGGCAGAGCCCAGCUCAGACACCCAGAAAAGGCUGCUGCUCUGGGUUCCUGGGUGGAGCAGCCCCAGAGCUGGUGGGACCACUGUGCCCGGUCCUUCUGUAGCACUUCCAUGCAGGCACCUCCGUCCUCCCUCCAGAUGUGGUGGUGGAGUAUGUGGCAGUCACCAUGGUUUUCUGGCCACUGCCCUCACAGGUGCACAGAGGGCUCUGCUGGUGACGCCACCCCCACAGGGCUCCUCCAGCCUGUCGGUGGAGAUGCUGGUCUGGAGCCCGGGGCUGAGGUCCAGCUCCCGGGGAUGGUGCUCUUGCCAGGUAUUGGGAGUGACUGGUUUCGGUGCUGUCAUGAACGAGAGCUUUCUUGGUGUUUCCAGCAGCUGCAGGGACCAAAGGGCAAUCUUCCAGAGGUUAAAGAAGAAGGGCUUCUCCUACAGUGGGAUUGUUAGAUGUCUGUUGAGUUAUUCUGCAAACAUCCACUUCCUGUGCGGAUGAGGGGAUGAGUUCUUGAGGCAGCUUCACUGCCUGAGGAUCUCCAUGUGUGAUGGAGGAGCAGCUGCCAUGGAUCUGUCCCCACAGGCAG
rnacentral:lncRNA from 1 species